rnacentral:rRNA from 1 species
UACAGAGGGUGCAAGCGUUAAUCGGAAUUACUGGGCGUAAAGGGCGCGUAGGCGGAUAAUUAAGUUAGAUGUGAAAUCCCUGGGCUUAACCUGGGAACUGCAUUUAAUACUGGUUAUCUAGAGUAGAGUAGAGGGAAGUGGAAUUUCCGGUGUAGCGGUGAAAUGCGUAGAUAUCGGAAAGAACAUCAGUGGCGAAAGCAGGUUGCUGGCCCAAUACUGACGGUGAGCUGCGAAAGCUAGGGGAGCAAACAGG